GGGCGGAUGGCGCAGCUGGUCAGCGCGUCUCGCUUACACCGAGAAGGCCGCAGGUUCGAGUCCUGCUCCGCCCACCA
rnacentral:tRNA from 1 species